GACGAACGCUGGCGGCGUGCCUAAUACAUGCAAGUAGAGCGCUGAAGAGAGGAGCUUGCUCUUCUUGGAUGAGUUGCGAACGGGUGAGUAACGCGUAGGUAACCUGCCUUGUAGCGGGGGAUAACUAUUGGAAACGAUAGCUAAUACCGCAUAACAAUGGAUGACACAUGUCCUUUAUUUGAAAGGGGCAAUUGCUCCACUACAAGAUGGACCUGCGUUGUAUUAGCUAGUAGGUGAGGUAAUGGCUCACCUAGGCGACGAUACAUAGCCGACCUGAGAGGGUGGUCGGCCAGACUGGGACUGAGACACGGCCCAGACGCCUACGGGAGGCAGCAGGAGGGAAUCUUCGGCAAGGGGGGCAACCCUGACCGAGAAACGCCGCGGGAGGGAAGAAGGAUGUCGGGUCGUAAAGCUCGGUUGUAAGUCAAGAAAGGGUGUGAGAGUGGAAAGUGCACACUGUGACGGUAGCUGAACAGAAAGGGACGGCUAACUACGUG
rnacentral:rRNA from 1 species